UUGGUUGAAAUUUGCUUUGUUAACGCUUAAAUAUAAAAGACUCAAUGAUGGCCCUCCAUAGAUUCACCUAUGUAAAUCCUGGCUAAAGUUGCAAAAUAAGAGCUUGAAUACCACUUGUAAAUAAUUUAAGGGCAUGACAUGGAUAGGAACAAUGGAAUGUACUAAGAAACAAGAACGACUAUUGCUAAUUCAUCUGUCAAGAUAUUCCCGAAAAAUCGAAAGCUAAGUGAUAAGGACUGGGUGAAAUCUAUUGAGAUGUUAAUGGGUGAAGGGAUUGGAGGUUGUUAAUAUAUUUCAUGAAAUAAUGAUCUUUUUUGGUAAA
rnacentral:lncRNA from 1 species